rnacentral:rRNA from 1 species
GACGUAGGGUGCAAGCGUUGUCCGGAUUUACUGGGCGUAAAGAGCGCGUAGGCGGUCUGUUAAGUGUGAAGUGAAAUCUCCAGGGCUCAACCCGGAAACGGCUUCGCAUACUGGCAGACUGGAGGGAUGCAGAGGUGAGUGGAAUUCCUGGUGUACCGGUGAAAUGGGUAGAUAUCAGGAGGAACACCCGUGGCGAAGGCGGCUCACUGGGCAUCACCUGACGCUGAGGCGCGAAAGUGUGGGUAGCAAA